rnacentral:rRNA from 1 species
UGGGGAAUAUUGCGCAAUGGGGGAAACCCUGACGCAGCGACGCCGCGUGAGCGAAGAAGGCCUUAGGGUUGUAAAGCUCUGUUUUAGGGGACGAAUGUUACGGGGAGUAAUAUGCCCUGUAAAUGACGGUACCCUAAGAGGAAGCCCCGGCUAACUACGUGCCAGCAGCCGCGGUAAGACGUAGGGGGCGAGCGUUGUCCGGAAUUACUGGGCGUAAAGAGCACGUAGGCGGGAACUUAAGUCAGGCGUGAAAGACCGAGGCUCAACCUCGGGUAUGCACUUGAAACUGGGUUUCUUGAGGGCAGGAGAGGAAAGCAGAAUUCCUGGUGUAGCGGUGAAAUGCGUAGAAAUCAGGAGGAAUACCAGUGGCGAAGGCGGCUUUCUGGACUGACCCUGACGCUGAGGUGCGAAAGCGUGGGUAGCAAACAG